rnacentral:rRNA from 1 species
CAGUCGCCGCGGGAAAACGGAGGGAGCUAGCGUUGCUCGGAAUUACUGGGCGUAAAGCGCGCGUAGGCGGUUACUCAAGUCAGAGGUGAAAGCCCGGGGCUCAACCCCGGAACUGCCUUUGAAACUAGGUGACUAGAAUCUUGGAGAGGUCAGUGGAAUUCCGAGUGUAGAGGUGAAAUUCGUAGAUAUUCGGAAGAACACCAGUGGCGAAGGCGACUGACUGGACAAGUAUUGACGCUGAGGUGCGAAAGCGUGGGGAGCAAACAGGAUUAGAUACCCGCGUAGUCCCUGUCUCUUAUAC